rnacentral:rRNA from 1 species
AGGACGAACGCUGGCGGCGUGCUUCACACAUGCAAGUCGAACGGGGCUCAUUCGGUGGUAACACCGGAGAAGGCCUAGUGGCGAACGGGUGCGUAACACGUGAAGAACCUGCCCCGAAGACUGGGAUAACAGCGGGAAACCGCUGCUAAUACCGGAUGACCCCACCAGGCCGCAUGGCCAGGUGAGGAAAUGGGCCUACCGCUUCGGGAGGGCUUCGCGGCCUAUCAGCUUGUUGGUGGGGUAACGGCCUACCAAGGCUACGACGGGUAGCUGGUCUGAGAGGACGACCAGCCACACUGGGACUGAGACACGGCCCAGACUCCUACGGGAGGCAGCAGUGGGGAAUCUUGCGCAAUGGGCGAAAGCCUGACGCAGCAACGCCGCGUGAGGGAUGAAGGUCUUCGGGUUGUAAACCUCUUUCGAGCAGGGACGAGUUGUGACGGUACCUGCAGAAGAAGCUCCGGCCAACUACGUGCCAGCAGCCGCGGU